AACAAACGCUGGCGGCGUGCCUAAUACAUGCAAGUCGAACGGGGAAAGUAGCAAUACGAGUACUAGUGGCGCACGGGUGAGGAAUACAUGGGUAAUCUGCCCUCGAGUUUGGGAUAACCAGUCGAAAGAUUGGCUAAUACCGGAUAUGACCACAGGAUCUGCGGAUCUAGGGGUAAAAGGUUUUUCGCUCGAGGAUGAGCCCAAGUGGGAUUAGCUAGUUGGUGAGGUAACGGCUCACCAAGGCGACGAUCCGUAACUGGUCUUAGAGGAUGAUCAGUCAUACUGGAACUGAGACACGGUCCAGACUCCUACGGGAGGGAGCAGUAGGGAAUAUUGCACAAUGGAGGAAACUCUGAUGCGGCGACGCCGCGUGAGUGAUGAAGGCCUUCGGGUCGUAAAGCUCUGUCGUAUGGGACUAACACAAUGAAGGUACCAUGCAAGAAAGGAUCGGCUAACUUCGUGCCAGCCGCCGCGGUAA
rnacentral:rRNA from 1 species